UGAAAAGAACUUUGAAGAGAGAGUUCAAGAGUACGUGAAACCGUUCAGGGGUAAACCUGAGAAACCCAAAAGAUCGAAUGGGGAGAUUCAUCGUCAGCGACACUGGCUUUCGUAUGGUUAUACGUCACUGUUCGGGAUUUCGGUCCCGCAACGUGCGGAAUUGUAUUGAUAUGCUGGGUUGUCGGCGUGCACUUCUCCCCUAGUAGGACGUCGCGACCCGUUGAGUGUCGAUUUACGGUCAUGGUGAUUGCCUGUUCUGUCGCAUUAACCUGCGUAUAGAGCAGAUCUCGUGAUUCUGAUCGACUGCUCGACGGUACACGCAAGGUAUUGGGCCGCAUUUUAUAUGCGUCAGGCUCACUGCAAGCGAGAGCAGUGUUUCUCGGAGGUUGCGGACCUAGUGCCGUCCCCGGGCCUGCUCAGCUGUUGGUCGGUGAUGUUCUCUGACUGGCUCUUUUAUUGAAAAAAAAAUACCGACCCGUCUUGAAACACGGACCAAGGAGUCUAACAUGUGCGCGAGUCAUUGGGACCGCAAAACCUAAAGGCGUAAUGAAAGUGAAGGUCGGCCUUGUGCCGACUAAGGGAGGAUGAGGUGCGUUACGAUGCAUCUCCGCACUCCCGGGGCGUCUCGUACUCAUUGCGAGUAGAGGCGCACCCAGAGCGUACACGUUGGGACCCGAAAGAUGGUGAACUAUGCCUGGUCAGGACGAAGUCAGGGGAAACCCUGAUGGAGGUCCGUAGCGAUUCUGACGUGCAAAUCGAUCGUCGGAACUGGGUAUAGGGGCGAAAGACUAAUCGAACCAUC
rnacentral:rRNA from 1 species